rnacentral:rRNA from 1 species
UUGCGANUGGGCGAAGCCUGACGCAGCGACGCCGCGUGGGGGAUGAAGGCCUUCGGGUUGUAAACCCCUUUCAGCAGGGACGAAGCGAAAGUGACGGUACCUGCAGAAGAAGCGCCGGCUAACUACGUGCCAGCAGCCGCGGUAACACGUAGGGCGCAAGCGUUGUCCGGAAUUAUUGGGCGUAAAGAGCUCGUAGGCGGUCUGUUGCGUCCGCUGUGAAAACUCGGGGCUUAACCCCGAGCCUGCAGUGGAUACGGGCAGACUAGAGGUAGGUAGGGGAGAAUGGAAUUCCCGGUGUAGCGGUGAAAUGCGCAGAUAUCGGGAGGAACACCGGUGGCGAAGGCGGUUCUCUGGGCCUUACCUGACGCUGAGGAGCGAAAGCGUGGGGAGCGAACAGGAUUAGAUACCCUGGUAGUCCACGCCGUAAACGUUGGGCGCUAGGUGUGGGAUCCUUCCACGGAUUCCGUGCCGCAGCUAACGCAUUAAGCGCCCCGCCUGGGGAGUACGGCCGCAAGGCUAAAACUCAAAAAAAUUGACGGA